rnacentral:rRNA from 1 species
UACGUAGGGUGCAAGCGUUAAUCGGAAUUACUGGGCGUAAAGCGUGCGCAGGCGGUUUUGUAAGACUGUCGUGAAAUCCCCGGGCUCAACCUGGGAAUGGCGAUGGUGACUGCAAGGCUAGAGUUUGGCAGAGGGAGGUAGAAUUCCACGUGUAGCAGUGAAAUGCGUAGAUAUGUGGAGGAACACCGAUGGCGAAGGCAGCCCCCUGGGUCAAAACUGACGCUCAUGCACGAAAGCGUGGGGAGCAAACAGG